UACAGAGGUCUCAAGCGUUGUUCGGAUUCAUUGGGCGUAACGGGUGCGUAGGUGGUGAUGCAAGUCUGGUGUGAAAUCUCGGAGCUCAACUCCGAAAUUGCACCGGAUACUGCGUGACUCGAGGACUGUAGAGGAGAUCGGAAUUCACGGUGUAGCAGUGAAAUGCGUAGAUAUCGUGAGGAAGACCAGUUGCGAAGGCGGAUCUCUGGGCAGUUCCUGACACUGAGGCACGAAGGCCAGGGGAGCAAACGGG
rnacentral:rRNA from 1 species